rnacentral:rRNA from 1 species
AUCAACGCUGGCGGCGUGCCUCAGACAUGCAAGUCGAACGAUUAAAGCUCUCUUCGGAGAGUGUAUAGAGUGGCGCACGGGUGAGUAACACGUAAGUAAUCUACCUUCGAGUGGGGAAUAACAUCGGGAAACCGAUGCUAAUACCGCAUAAUGCAGCGGCAUCGCAAGAUGACAGUUGUUAAAGAUUUUAUCGCUUGAAGAGGAGCUUGCGGCGGAUUAGCUAGUUGGUAAGGUAAUGGCUUACCAAGGCAACGAUCUGUAACCGGUCUAAGAGGACGGUCGGUCACACUGACACUGAAUCACGGGUCAGACUCCUACGGGAGGCAGCAGUCGGGAAUUUUGGGCAAUUGGCGAAAGCCUGACCCAGCAACGCCGCGUGAAGGAUGAAGUAUUUCGGUAUGUAAACUUCGAAAGAAUGGGAAGAAUACCUGACGGUACCAUUUAUAAGGUCCGGCUAACUACGU